rnacentral:rRNA from 1 species
CAUACGCAUUCGCGUGUGGUGGUUCUUGCCUUGUGUGUCAACGCCAGUUCGCGAUCGAGGAAAACUCUUGGGACAUGGUAGCCUGUCUUCGGGUGGGCGAAUGUGCCUUGUAGAACUCAUUUGCGGACUGAUUCCUUCGUGUCUGGUUGCAGCGCUUCUUGUCUCUUCGACGUGCUUGGGCGUGGGAGUUUGCUCCUCGCGCCCAGCGCUCGGGUGACUGGGCGCUUCCCUGACACAUAGACGAUGACNAAAUGGUUCUAUUCGACCCGUCUUGAAACACGGACCAAGGAGUCUAACAUAUGUGCGAGUCCACGGGUGGUAAACCUGCUGGCGCAGUGAAAGCGACUGCUGGGAUUUUUGCACCAGCAACCGACCAAUCAAUUGAGAGAGGUUUGAGUAUGAGCAUAUCUGUUAGGACCCGAAAGAUGGUGAACUAUGCCUGAGAAGGGCAAACUCAGGGGAAACUCUGAUGGAGGCUCGUAGCGAU